UUCGAAGAAAGCAUCUAGAAUUCACUUAUCUACCAUUGCGUAUGCAGCUGGAUAUCAACCAUUUGCCAGGAAAAAUUUAUAAAAUAUUUGACGGAUUUUAUAUUCUCUGUCCAAAUGAUGAUUUCGUACAGAUGCCUCGGCAGAUCGAAUCACAUGAAAGUAAAACUAUUUAAUAAUUCAAAUGUCAUUAAAGUAUUAUUACAAAAUGUACUUUAAAUGCACAAUCACAUUACAGUACAAAUCUUUCACUGAAUAGUGCAGAGAUAACUUGCGGUUAGGCUUUUAUCUUUCAAUGAGAUAGGACCGAAUAGCAAAAGAAGAAAGUAAACGACUCAAUUGGAAUUACACAAUAUUCCACUACUUUUGCUAAACGCUGAGUAAUGGAUACGGAAGAAAUAUAAAAAAUUUACCCUACGAAGGCUUCAAUGGAUUUCAGACGCAAGAUAAUUCGAUUCAGAAACUUUCCAAGUUUCUAUCUCGAUUUCACACUCGAUCAAACCACAGUUACCAUUCUAUGGCGCUUAUAAGGCUUUCGUGAGUCC